rnacentral:rRNA from 1 species
GACGAACGCUGGCGGCGUGCUUAACACAUGCAAGUCGAACGGAAAGGCCCUGCUUUUGUGGGGUGCUCGAGUGGCGAACGGGUGAGUAACACGUGAGUAACCUGCCCUUGACUUUGGGAUAACUUCAGGAAACUGGGGCUAAUAUCGGAUAGGAGCUCCUGCUGCAUGGUGGGGGUGGGAAAGUUUCGGCGGUUGUGGAUGGACUCGCGGCUUACCAGCUUGUUGGUGGGGUAGUGGCUUACCAAGGCUUUGACGGGUAGCCGGCCUGAGAGGGUGACCGGCGACCUUGCGACUGAGGUACGGCCCAGACUCCUACGGGAGGCAGCAGUGGGGAAUAUUGUACAACGGGCGGAAGCCUGAUGCAGCAACGCCGCGGGCGGAAUGACGGCCUUCGGGUUGUAAACCGCUGUCGCCUGUGACGAAGCGUGAGUGACGGUAAUGGGUAAAGAAGCACCGGCUAACUACGUG